UUGUCUGUUUCUCUGCCAGUUUUUUUUAUAGAUACCUGGAAAAAGAGUGCACAUGAUAGGAACACUGCAUUUCGCAUAAUUUUUGGAAUGUUAUUUGGAUAUGUUUUGCUGUUCUGUUUCACUCUGAGUAGAGGUUUUAGCAGGAUGCACAUAAAGUGGAUUGGUUUAUAUUUUCUGUCUUUGGCACAAUUCUUUCUACUGAUUACCUCACAAGGACUUCCCAGUCCAGGGUUCCUACCUGUGCCAAUAGUUCAUGCAAUACUGCUUAUGUGCAUGCCAUGUAAAUACCUCUGCAGGAGAUGGACAAUAUUAUUGUGGAUAAUAACAUUACCACUCUUGGAUAUUGCCCUAGUGAUCUAUGUUCAUCUAUGCAUACUGGAAAAGCUUAAAGAUUACUUGGAAUGGAUCUGUGUAAUUGCAUUUCUCGAAGUUCUGAGAAUUAAGGUGGCCUUUGAAGACCGAGAUUUUGGUAUUAUCCAUUACUGACUUAUACAUGCCCUUAUUACCCCAUUUAUAAAAGAGCAUAAACAUUAGAUAACUGUGAUACACAUAACAAAUUGUAUACAAAAUAUCAAAAUAAAUUAAUUUUAAAUUCUAAUUCUAUUUUAAAUUCUGUUUGCAAGGAAUUGACACUAGUUUAUAUAAAGCAAAUACACCCUUUAAACUUAUUUAUGCAAAAUCACAUGAGCAAGAAUGCCGUUGAACUGAUAUCAGCAUGGCAGUGAUUAAUAAUUAAUUCUUUGACUGUGAUUCUUUUAAUUCUAUUUAGUCAGUAAAUUUUAUUACCAGAAUAGAUGUGUGUUCUGAGCUUAGGAUUAAGUUUAGGAUUAGCUCUUUUCAUCCUUUUGACUUUUGAAUCAGAUUUCAGUUUUGUUCUAACACAGAGGCAGAACGUUCAGGAGUCCAGAGACGACAACAACAAACAAACCAACAAGGAUUAAAUGCAUGUAAUUAAUGACUGAUGACAAUAUUAAUCUUUUAGGUUAAUCAGUAUUAAUAUUUUAAUCUUGUUAAUUUGUUAUCUUUCAGUUAUCUUUCAUUGUCUUUAUACUCAGUAUUUGUAUAAAAAGACUAAUGGACUAAUGCAGUAGAACAAAUGUACAGUUUAGACAAUUUGUGAAUAUGUGAAGUUUUCAGUGGUAACAACAGUUUUUUUGAAUUGGUGCAUUUUUUUAUUCGUUUUGUGUGUGUCUGUUAUAGUGAAUCUCUGUAAUGAAAUCAUGUACAUGUUUGGAGCAGUUGGUCUUGUUUUGUUGAGCUCCGUUACACUGACAGCAGAACUGAUCCUGAAAGCACGAGAUGGUGAGCGUUUCAUGAAGGAUCUGAGAGUCAUUGUCUUCCCCUCUGAAUGUGUUUUUGCCUUGUAUUGGCUGCUUUUACAAAUACAUGCUUUCUGUAAGUAUCUUUUAAAAUCUUUUAUUAAGGAGACCCAACUGAUUUUAUUUCAUUAUUUAUUUAUUUGGAUUUUUGUAUUAAACGUUUUGUACUGAAAAUGAGUAACAAACAGGCAGUGGCCAAAAUCCAAAUAUCAGUUUACUUAUCAGUUCAAGUAAAACAGGAAGCAAACAGGUUCUCAAAUCACUAAAUACAGUCAAGUCUAAAACAUCCGUCCAAUAAAUACAAAAAAAAUGAGCCAAAGUGAAUAGAAUAGAAUAAAUUUUACACAAUACACUCUAAUUGUAUUUGUAUGUGUAGAUACAGAUGCCACUUUAUACACAUUCAGUACAUGUUAUUCUUGUUUUCUUUAUGUAAAAAAGGAUACUGAAUGUGUAUACAUGUUAAAUAGAAUUUUAAAAAUAACCAUUAAAAAAUGUUUUAUCCAAAAAUAAAUAUUUAUUUACCAGAGGAUACAAGUGGGCCAAAACUGGAUUCAUGUCAAAGAAUAUGAAUUGUGUGCCAGGACCUACAGUAUAAAUACACAGCCUGAUUUACUCGCUUUGUUUCUGCUUAUUUUGCUCAAUCUAACAAACAUCCUAAAAGUUGAUUAAUGUUAAACAUUUACAUGAAUGCAAACAUAACAUGUCAUGUAAAUAAUCACUCUUUAAUUCCUCCUGUCACAUUUAGGGAAAAAUGUUACAACUGAGUGAGUUCAUUUUUAUUCUUUACCAGCUCUAAUUCUGCAUAAUAUAAAAUAUUAAAUUUGUAAUUGCUUUUCUUUUUCUCAUUCUGGUUUCAAAUACAGAUCUAAAGGCAAUCAAAGGAACUGUCUCAAAACACUCAGACCUCCUAUCAAGAAUAUAUCCGAGACUCAUGAAAUGGAGACUCUGUCUGCACCUGAUUCUGCUGUUUCUCAGAUACAGAAAUGAAAAACACUCUUCCACAUUUAUCCUGCACUGUGACUGUUUGAUCUGUCUGCGAAAUAUUAUCUUCUCAGAAACCAGCAAGCUGAGAGUGAAGACUAAUUUUGUACUCUUAUAUUAAGCAUUAACAUUAACCUACAUUAAAUGAAGUGAUGAGUGAUGAGAAUACUUUUUGAAAAACAACAACAAAAAAUUAAUGACUUUAUUCAACAUUCAAUACCUUCUUUUCUGUGUCAUUCUCCUACGCUGUUUACAUCCAGCGCUUCAAGGUUCUAAUUCAGAUCGCCGACUCAUUAUUGGCCAGCUCCUGCGUCAGCCUCACACACAUGCCUCCAGGGGCGCAUUAACGCACAGGCUUCCAUGGGCUGAAGCCCAGGGGCCUACACUGGGGAGGGGCCUAUUGGCUGUGCGAAAAUUAUAUGUUGUGGUACUCAAGACCGGUCUUGGUCUUGAGACCAGUCUUAAGACCAUUUUUUGAAGGUCUUGUCUUGGUCUCGACUUGGUCUUUUAGGUGGUCUUGACUAGUAUAUAACACUACUAUAAGUGGAAAAAUUGACUCCGGGCCAUUGA